UGCGACCUGCAAUUGGGGUUGUUGAGCUCUCCCAAUGUAUUAUUCAGGCUGUUCCUCUUAGUUCAAGAAAAACUACUGGAGGUUCUGCAGAAGGGAUUGCACCCUUUUUGCAGCUGCCCCAUUUCAGUGAGUCUGUUGUCAAGAAGAUAGCUCGGAAGAAAGUGAGAUCUUUUCAGGAUUUUUGUGAUAUGGCUCCCCCAGAACGUGCUGGCCCCCCACAGCAGGGUGGUGGGUUUUCCU
rnacentral:misc_RNA from 1 species